UGGCUCAGAAUGAACGUUGGCGGCGUGGAUUAGGCAUGCAAGUCGCGCGAUAAAUUACCUUCGGGUGAUGGAAAGCGGCGAAAGGGAGAGUAACACGCGGGUACCUACCCUCAGGACCGGGAUAGCUGCGGGAAACUGCAAUUAAUACCGGAUGAUGUCUCCGGACCAAAGGUGUGAUUCCGCCGGAGGAGGGGCCCACGUCCUAUCAGCUAGUUGGCGAGGUAAUAGCUCACCAAGGCUACGACGGGUACGGGGUGUGAGAGCAUGCCCCCGCUCACUGGGACUGAGACACUGCCCAGACACCUACGGGUGGCUGCAGUCGAGAAUCUUCCGCAAUGGGCGAAAGCCUGACGGAGCGACGCCGCGUGCGGGAUGAAGGCCUUCGGGUUGUAAACCGCUGUCAGUGGGGAGGAAAUGCACGGGGGUUCUCCCUCGUGCUUGACCGAUCCGCAGAGGAAGCACAGGCUAAGUUCGUGCCAGCAGCCGCGGUAACACGAACUGUGCAAACGUUAUUCGGAAUCACUGGGCUUAAAGAGUUCGUAGGCGGCAUGCCAAGUCGGGUGUGAAAUCCCUCGGCUCAACCGAGGAAUUGCGUCCGAAACUGGCGUGCUUGAGUAAGAUAGAGGUGAGCGGAACUGAUGGUGGAGCGGUGAAAUGCGUUGAUAUCAUCAGGAACACCGGUGGCGAAAGCGGCUCACUGGGUCUUAACUGACGCUGAGGAACGAAAGCU
rnacentral:rRNA from 1 species